rnacentral:lncRNA from 1 species
UCCCCCGAGGGCGGGGCGCGAGCGCGCGCGCGCGCGCGCGCGCGAGCUGGGCCCAAGCUGGCCUAAGAGCCGCGGAUCCGAGCGCAGCUAGGGUGGCUGCAGCGACGCGAUGGCUCCGGCUUUGGACCGGGAGGGUUACUGGGGCCCUACGACCUCCACACUGGACUGGUGCGAGGAGAACUAUUUUGUGACCGAGUACGUCGCCGAGUUCUGUGAGUGUGGCCUGAGGCGGGGAGGGAGGGAGUAGGGAC